rnacentral:rRNA from 1 species
CUUCGGGUUGUAAAGCUCUUUCGGCGGGGAAGAAAUGGCACGGGUUAAUACCCUGUGUCGAUGACGGUACCCGAAUAAGAAGCACCGGCUAACUACGUGCCAGCAGCCGCGGUAAUACGUAGGGUGCGAGCGUUAAUCGGAAUUACUGGGCGUAAAGCGUGCGCAGGCGGUUGGGUAAGUCAGAUGUGAAAUCCCCGGGCUCAACCUGGGAACUGCAUUUGAGACUGCCCGGCUGGAGUUUGGCAGAGGGAUU